ACCCAAGCACAAGAAUCGCUUUUUCGCAGCUCACGCACUGGAUGGCGUCAAACGCCCAUCUCUUCCCGCGCUGUGGGUAGAAAGUCCCCGGAGCCUCCCCCGCCUCACUUCCUCCUCUCUUUCUCUCCACGCUGUUCCCCCAACACCCGUUUCUUCAAGCCUUCUGAUCCUUCCUCUUCCUUCACCUUUCCCUUUCCUUCCACCCUCUUCCUCUAUGCCGAAGCUUCUACGCUGGGAAAGCGCUGUAUCUAAGACUACAGAUAGGCGGGUCGCGAGGCUGGAAGAUGGGAAUGGGCUCGGGUAUAUGGGGUGUUGAGAGAGUUUGGGGAUAGGGUUCCUGAGUCUCGGGUGCGAGGUUCGGCCGACUUUGGCAUACCAAACAGGCAUCUUCUCUUCCUUUUACCGCUACCGGUUCAUCCGAGUGUUUCGAGGGUCGAGUGUCUGGCCGAGGUCUGAGCUUGAGGGUCUCUUCUUUCAGUCUUUCGAUUUCAGGCGAAGAUACGAGCCUGGUUGGGUCACGGGACUGUGGAAGGGAGAGUGAGAAUAGCUGGGCGGAUGAAACGAAUGCGCUCAUAGAUAUAGUUAUGCGAUUGCCCUGUCCUCACUUCUUCUCGCCAAGAGAGUCGUGGAUGGGUAACUCGAUGGGGCUUACUCUGUGUCUUGGG
rnacentral:RNase_MRP_RNA from 2 species